rnacentral:tRNA from 1 species
ACACCUAUAGCUCAGUUGGUUAGAGUGCUACCCUGACAUGGUAGAGGUCGCUGGUUCGAGUCCAGUUAGGUGUA